rnacentral:tRNA from 1 species
GCUGGAAUGGCGAAAUUGGAAGACGCAGCAGAUCUAGAAUCUGUUUUUUGGGAGUUCGAGUCUCCCUUCUUGCA